CGUCAACCAGGAUCUGGCGAUGCCAAGGGGACCAGAAUGUAUUUGUUCAAGUGUUUUGUUUUUGUUUUUUCUUUAACAGCGAAACAUUGGAAACAGUGGUGAACGUGAAAGAUGAGACAGCCCCCAAUCACUACGUUUCUGAACAGGAACUCUUACAGGCUAUUGUCAUCGUAGCAGCGAGAGGAACAUGAGGUCCACCCAGAGCAACAUCACCAAGCAACAUCAUCUCACUCACUGAAUCUGCGUUUAAUGAUUCAAGUGCUGGAGCUGGUGGAGCUGUCACUGUUCUGCUGUGUUGAUUCCAGCCUGCCGUUCUCUCUCCUCCAGCAGGAACCUCCUGUCAGGCCAAGAGCUAAGAAACGGGCUCCCUGAGCAGUUGAUCAGGCUCAGUUAGAAGGUCCAGUCAGUGUCAAUGAGAAACAUGGAUAAGAGAGAAGCCAAGGAGCUGUGUGCAGCCCCGAACCCCCUAAAGAGGCAGAGAAGACUGAAAUGAAAGUGAUACUGUUUGAACUGGUCAAAUGCCUCCUAUGAGCACAAAAGGAUGUGAACAGUUUUUGUCUUUUCUUUCCAAAAUGUAAUAUCACCUUGUAUCUAUAGAAGUCACACAUGAGAGAGUCAGAAUGAAUGUUCUUGCAUAAUAAAUGAGAAUUGAUUUAAAC
rnacentral:lncRNA from 1 species